rnacentral:rRNA from 1 species
ACUAAGCGUACACGGUGGAUGCCCUGGCAGUCAGAGGCGAUGAAGGACGUGCUAAUCUGCGAUAAGCGUCGGUAAGGUGAUAUGAACCGUUAUAACCGGCGAUUUCCGAAUGGGGAAACCCAGUGUGUUUCGACACACUAUCAUUAACUGAAUCCAUAGGUUAAUGAGGCGAACCGGGGGAACUGAAACAUCUAAGUACCCCGAGGAAAAGAAAUCAACCGAGAUUCCCUCAGUAGCGGCGAGCGAACGGGGAGCAGCCCAGAGCCUGAAUCAGUAUGUGUGUUAGUGGAAGCGUCUGGAAAGGCGCGCGAUACAGGGUGACAGCCCCGUACACAAAAAUGCACAUAUUGUGAGCUCGAUGAGUAGGGCGGGACACGUGGUAUCCUGUCUGAAUAUGGGGGGACCAUCCUCCAAGGCUAAAUACUCCUGACUGACCGAUAGUGAACCAGUACCGUGAGGGAAAGGCGAAAAGAACCCCGGCGAGGGGAGUGAAAAAGAACCUGAAACCGUGUACGUACAAGCAGUGGGAGCACGCUUCGGCGUGUGACUGCGUACCUUUUGUAUAAUGGGUCAGCGACUUAUAUUCUGUAGCAAGGUUAACCGAAUAGGGGAGCCGAAGGGAAACCGAGUCUUAACUGGGCGUUAAGUUGCAGGGUAUAGACCCGAAACCCGGUGAUCUAGCCAUGGGCAGGUUGAAGGUUGGGUAACACUAACUGGAGGACCGAACCGACUAAUGUUGAAAAAUUAGCGGAUGACUUGUGGCUGGGGGUGAAAGGCCAAUCAAACCGGGAGAUAGCUGGUUCUCCCCGAAAGCUAUUUAGGUAGCGCCUCGUGAAUUCAUCUCCGGGGGUAGAGCACUGUUUCGGCAAGGGGGUCAUCCCGACUUACCAACCCGAUGCAAACUGCGAAUACCGGAGAAUGUUAUCACGGGAGACACACGGCGGGUGCUAACGUCCGUCGUGAAGAGGGAAACAACCCAGACCGCCAGCUAAGGUCCCAAAGUCAUGGUUAAGUGGGAAACGAUGUGGGAAGGCCCAGACAGCCAGGAUGUUGGCUUAGAAGCAGCCAUCAUUUAAAGAAAGCGUAAUAGCUCACUGGUCGAGUCGGCCUGCGCGGAAGAUGUAACGGGGCUAAACCAUGCACCGAAGCUGCGGCAGCGACACUAUGUGUUGUUGGGUAGGGGAGCGUUCUGUAAGCCUGUGAAGGUGUGCUGUGAGGCAUGCUGGAGGUAUCAGAAGUGCGAAUGCUGACAUAAGUAACGAUAAAGCGGGUGAAAAGCCCGCUCGCCGGAAGACCAAGGGUUCCUGUCCAACGUUAAUCGGGGCAGGGUGAGUCGACCCCUAAGGCGAGGCCGAAAGGCGUAGUCGAUGGGAAACAGGUUAAUAUUCCUGUACUUGGUGUUACUGCGAAGGGGGGACGGAGAAGGCUAUGUUGGCCGGGCGACGGUUGUCCCGGUUUAAGCGUGUAGGCUGGUUUUCCAGGCAAAUCCGGAAAAUCAAGGCUGAGGCGUGAUGACGAGGCACUACGGUGCUGAAGCAACAAAUGCCCUGCUUCCAGGAAAAGCCUCUAAGCAUCAGGUAACAUCAAAUCGUACCCCAAACCGACACAGGUGGUCAGGUAGAGAAUACCAAGGCGCUUGAGAGAACUCGGGUGAAGGAACUAGGCAAAAUGGUGCCGUAACUUCGGGAGAAGGCACGCUGAUAUGUAGGUGAGGUCCCUCGCGGAUGGAGCUGAAAUCAGUCGAAGAUACCAGCUGGCUGCAACUGUUUAUUAAAAACACAGCACUGUGCAAACACGAAAGUGGACGUAUACGGUGUGACGCCUGCCCGGUGCCGGAAGGUUAAUUGAUGGGGUCAGCGCAAGCGAAGCUCUUGAUCGAAGCCCCGGUAAACGGCGGCCGUAACUAUAACGGUCCUAAGGUAGCGAAAUUCCUUGUCGGGUAAGUUCCGACCUGCACGAAUGGCGUAAUGAUGGCCAGGCUGUCUCCACCCGAGACUCAGUGAAAUUGAACUCGCUGUGAAGAUGCAGUGUACCCGCGGCAAGACGGAAAGACCCCGUGAACCUUUACUAUAGCUUGACACUGAACAUUGAGCCUUGAUGUGUAGGAUAGGUGGGAGGCUUUGAAGUGUGGACGCCAGUCUGCAUGGAGCCGACCUUGAAAUACCACCCUUUAAUGUUUGAUGUUCUAACGUUGACCCGUAAUCCGGGUUGCGGACAGUGUCUGGUGGGUAGUUUGACUGGGGCGGUCUCCUCCUAAAGAGUAACGGAGGAGCACGAAGGUUGGCUAAUCCUGGUCGGACAUCAGGAGGUUAGUGCAAUGGCAUAAGCCAGCUUGACUGCGAGCGUGACGGCGCGAGCAGGUGCGAAAGCAGGUCAUAGUGAUCCGGUGGUUCUGAAUGGAAGGGCCAUCGCUCAACGGAUAAAAGGUACUCCGGGGAUAACAGGCUGAUACCGCCCAAGAGUUCAUAUCGACGGCGGUGUUUGGCACCUCGAUGUCGGCUCAUCACAUCCUGGGGCUGAAGUAGGUCCCAAGGGUAUGGCUGUUCGCCAUUUAAAGUGGUACGCGAGCUGGGUUUAGAACGUCGUGAGACAGUUCGGUCCCUAUCUGCCGUGGGCGCUGGAGAACUGAGGGGGGCUGCUCCUAGUACGAGAGGACCGGAGUGGACGCAUCACUGGUGUUCGGGUUGUCAUGCCAAUGGCACUGCCCGGUAGCUAAAUGCGGAAGAGAUAAGUGCUGAAAGCAUCUAAGCACGAAACUUGCCCCGAGAUGAGUUCUCCCUGACCCUUUAAGGGUCCUGAAGGAACGUUGAAGACGACGACGUUGAUAGGCCGGGUGUGUAAGCGCAGCGAUGCGUUGAGCUAACCGGUACUAAUGAACCGUGAGGCUUAACC